rnacentral:ncRNA from 1 species
AGGAGCCGUAUGAGAUAAAAAUCUUAUGUACGGUUCUGGAAGGGAGAUUCUUUUACUUGAAU